AAGUGAAAACGAAACCUAUAAAAAGUAAUAUUUUUCCAAUAGAAAUAAACCUUAUCCAAUUAAAUAAACACUGAGGUCAGUUAUCAUACUUAAUCAAAUCCCUGUGUCGAUUCAGGAAAGUUAAUCGGCCCAUUACCCGACUCCACCUCUAACAGUUUCCAUGAAUCAAAUCAUAAACGGGAAUAUGCACAGAUCCGGGCAACGAAAUCAGAAGUCGGACCGCAAUCUGAAACCACUCCAAUUAAAUGUCAUAAAACGUUCGAGGAGCCGGGCAGAAGUAGCAUUGUAAAGCCAAAUGCAGAAUGUGAUAUAAUGGUGUUCUGAGGGAUAGGGGAACCCGCAGAACUCAUAAAUGCAAAAUCCGUUUAUGAGGGGACACAAGGAGUGUGGGGAAAACGUAAAUAAAUGGCGGCAAUCUGGAUUAGCUGGUGGUCGGACUCAAAAGCUUUACCGCUAAUUCAUCAUUAUCUUUGGCCGUAAGCGGAUAAGCCAAACAGUUCUGGCGGAUUGUCUUUAUAAGCUGCACUCUACGUUUUCCCCCGCUUUGGGUUUUCCCCUCUCCGUGUGAGUUGUGUUCUUUUUUUAAUCACAUUCUGUCUCAUCAUUUUCAUUGACAUUAUUACAAAGUUAAUUGCGGUAAUUAAAUGUAAUUAUUUUUGUAA